CCUACGGGAGGCAGCAGUGAGGAAUAUUCCACAAUGGGGGAAACCCUGAUGGAGCGAUGCCGCGUGCAGGAAGACGCUUUUCGGAGUGUAAACUGCUUUUAACAAGGAAGAUUAUGACGGUACUUGUAGAAUAAGGACCGGCUAACUACGUGCCAGCAGCCGCGGUAAUACGUAGGGUCCAAGCGUUAUUCGGAAUUACUGGGCGUAAAGCGUUCGUAGGCGGUUUGAUAAGUUGGAUGUGAAAUCCUGUGGCUCAACCACAUGGACUGUGUCCAAAACUAUCUGACUAGAGCAUAGUAGAGGCAAGUGGAAUUUGCGGUGUAGGAGUGACAUCCGUAGAUAUCGCAAGGAACACCAAUGGCGAAGGCAGCUUGCUGGGCUAUUGCUGACGCUCAGGAACGAAGCGUUGGGGANCGAACGGGUAUUAGGAUACCCCGGGUAGUCCACGCCGUUAAACGNUGAUCACUANCAGUAUAGAGAUACGUACCUCUGUGUUGUCGACG
rnacentral:rRNA from 1 species